UAAAAACCGUGAAAGGCCAAUGUUUUGGUUUGUCCGUGCUGGCUACUGUAGAAACAUGGUGGAGCAUCAUGUGGACUCCUUGAAGAGGCCCCGUUCCCUAUGUAGAUAUGAAGGGCUCAUUCUAAGCUAACGAAAACACAACCAUUCUUAGUUUCAGGUGAUUAUACAGUAAUAAAAAUUAAAAUAUUAAACUACACUUUUGCUGAUA